rnacentral:rRNA from 1 species
AAUGCGUAGAGAUNAGGAAGAACACCAGUGGCGAAGGCGAUUNUCUGGACCGUAACUGACGNUGAGGCACGAAAGCGUGGGUAGCAAACAGGAUUAGAUACCNUGGUAGUCCACGCCGNNAACGAUGAGUACUAGGUGUAGGAGGUAUCGACCCCUUCUGUGCCGCAGUAAACACAAUAAGUACUCCGCCUGGGAAGUACGAUCGCAAGAUUAAAACUCAAAGGAAUUGACGGGGGCCCGCACAAGCAGCGGAGCAUGUGGUUUAAUUCGAAGCAACGCGAAGAACCUUACCUGGACUUGACAUACCCUGAAUAUCUUAGAGAUAAGAGAAGCCCUUCGGGGCAGGGAUACAGGUGGUGCAUGGUUGUCGUCAGCUCGUGUCGUGAGAUGUUAGGUUAAGUCCUGCAACGAGCGCAACCCCUGUUGUUAGUUGCUAACAUUUAGUUGAGCACUCUAGCAAGACUGCCGCGGUUAACGCGGAGGAAGGUGGGGAUGACGUCAAAUCAUCAUGCCCCUUAUGUCCAGGGCAACACACGUGCUACAAUGGGCAGUACAGAGAGAAGCAAGACCGCAAGGUGGAGCAAACCUCAAAAACUGCCCCCAGUUCGGAUUGCAGGCUGAAACUCGCCUACAUGAAGUUGGAGUUGCUAGUAAUCGCGAAUCAGAAUGUCGCGGUGAAUACGUUCCCGGGCCUUGUACACACCGCCCGUCACACCAUGAGAGCUGGCAACACCCGAAGUCCGUAGUCUAACUUAGGAGGACGCGGCCGAAGGUGGGGUUAGUAAUCGGGGUGAAGUCGUAA